rnacentral:rRNA from 1 species
UACGUAGGAGGCGAGCGUUAUCCGGAUUCACUGGGCGUAAAGCGUGUGCAGGCGGUUUGGUUAGUUGGAUGUGAAAGCUCCUGGCUCAACUGGGAGAGGUCGUUCAAUACUGCCAGACUAGAGGACGGUAGAGGAGAGUGGAAUUCCCGGUGUAGUGGUGAAAUGCGUAGAUAUCGGGAGGAACACCAGUGGCGAAAGCGGCUCUCUGGGCCGUUCCUGACGCUAAGACACGAAAGCGUGGGGAGCGAACAGG